AGUGAACGCUGGCGGUAGGCCUAACACAUGCAAGUCGAACGGCAGCACAGUAAGAGCUUGCUCUUACGGGUGGCGAGUGGCGGACGGGUGAGGAAUACAUCGGAAUCUACUUUUUCGUGGGGGAUAAGGUAGGGAAACUUACGCUAAUACCGCAUACGACCUACGGGUGAAAGCAGGGGAUCUUCGGACCUUGCGCGAUUGAAUGAGCCGAUGUCGGAUUAGCUAGUUGGCGGGGUAAAGGCCCACCAAGGCGACGAUCCGUAGCUGGUCUGAGAGGAUGAUCGGCCACACUGGAACUGAGACACGGUCCAGACUCCUACGGGAGGCAGCAGUGGGGAAUAUUGGACAAUGGGCGCAAGCCUGAUCCAGCCAUACCGCGUGGGUGAAGAAGGCCUUCGGGUUGUAAAGCCCUUUUGUUGGGAAAGAAAAGCAGCAGGUUAAUACCCCGCUGUUCUGACGGUACCCAAAGAAUAAGCACCGGCUAACUUCGUG
rnacentral:rRNA from 1 species